ACUGUAGGUGUUCUAAACUCUUCUCCUAUAUAUGGAACUGUAACUGGAGGUGUUCUAAACUCUUCUCCUAUAACUGUAACUGGAGGUGUUCUAAACUCUUCUCCUAUAACUGGAACUGGAGGUGUUCUAAACUCUUCUCCUAUAUAUGGAACUGUAACUGGAGGUGUUCUAAACUCUUCUCCUAUAUAUGGAACUGUAACUGGAGGUGUUCUAAACUCUUCUCCUAUAUAUGGAACUGUAACUGGAGGUGUUCUAAACUCUUCUUCUAUAACUGGAACUGGAGGUGUUCUAAACUCUUCUCCUAUAUAUGUAACUGUAACUGGAGGUGUUCUAAACUCUUCUCCUAUAUAUGGAACUGUAACUGGAGGUGUUCUAAAC